GAUGAACGCUAGCGGCAGGCUUAACACAUGCAAGUCGUGGGGCAGCGCGGUGUAGCAAUACACUGGCGGCGACCGGCAAACGGGUGCGGAACACGUACGCAACCUUCCUCAAAGCGGGGGAUAGCCUCUCGAAAGAGAGAUUAAUACCCCAUAGUAUCGUCAGAAGGCAUCUGAAGACGAUUAAAGCUCCGGCACUUUGAGAUGGGCGUGCGUCUGAUUAGGUAGUUGGUAGGGUAACGGCCUACCAAGCCGACGAUCAGUAGCUGAUGUGAGAUCAUGAUCAGCCACACGGGCACUGAGACACGGGCCCGACUCCUACGGGAGGCAGCAGUGAGGAAUAUUGGUCAAUGGAGGCAACUCUGAACCAGCCAUGCCGCGUGAAGGAUGAAGGUCCUCUGG
rnacentral:rRNA from 1 species